UGAUUGUCCUCUUUUGUGAAAUGCCUA
rnacentral:piRNA from 1 species